rnacentral:pre_miRNA from 3 species
UCUUAUGGAUGAGCAAAGGAAGUAGUUUCUUGAGAUGGAAUCUACUGGUAAAGAUGUUGUGAA